rnacentral:rRNA from 1 species
UACGUAGGGUGCAAGCGUUAAUCGGAAUUACUGGGCGUAAAGCGCACGUAGGCGGUUUUUUAAGUCAGAUGUGAAAGCCCCGGGCUCAACCUGGGAAUUGCAUUUGAAACUGGCCAACUAGAGUACGUGAGAGGGGGGUAGAAUUCCAAGUGUAGCGGUGAAAUGCGUAGAGAUUUGGAGGAAUACCAGUGGCGAAGGCGGCCCCCUGGCACGAUACUGACGCUCAGGUGCGAAAGCGUGGGGAGCAAACAGG